CAAACAGCCAACUGUUCAUCAUGCUGUCAUCACAGCGUUUCCAUGCUGAAAGCGCAACAUAAUUACAGCCAUUUAGUUUUCCUACUUGUUUCUCUGAAUGAAAAGUUCCGUAACCAAAAUCACUCACCGAAAUCGCAUCGAAUAAAAUUGGUUUCAACUCCAAACACCGUAACACAUGUGACAGCAAAAUGGCUGUGAAGGACGUGAAGAAGAAACUCGAAAAGAGCGAAUGUUGGCUGGUUGUUCAGGCGGGAAAGGGGAAGUCAGAUCUGUGGAAAGUAUUUGACUGUGGAAACUACUGGAAGGAAGAUGAACGUGGUACCUUCAGACGUUUGGAAAUUGCUCCCAAGGAUGAACCAGACUUGUGGAGGUCUUUCUGAGGUCUUGGCUGAUUUCUUUUGAUUUUCCCAUGAUGUCAAGCUAAGAGGCACUGAGUUUGAAGAUCUUGUGCAGGAUAUGGCCAUUCAUUUGUGCUACCCACAAUCCCUCAGGAUUGUAGAGAGACUCCCAAAGGAAGAGAAUGACAGAGUCCAUCCAAAUCAUCUUGGCUCCUGGACUCAUUUCAAGGCUGCG
rnacentral:lncRNA from 1 species